GACGAACGCCUUCGGCGUGCUUAACACAUGCAAGUCGAACGGAAAGGCCCUGCUUUUGUGGGGUGCUCGAGUGGCGAACGGGUGAGUAACACGUGAGUAACCUGCCCUUGACUUUGGGAUAACUUCAGGAAACUGGGGCUAAUACCGGAUAGGAGCUCCUGCUGCAUGGUGGGGGUUGGAAAGUUUCGGCGGUUGGGGAUGGACUCGCGGCUUAUCAGCUUGUUGGUGGGGUAGUGGCUUACCAAGGCUUUGACGGGUAGCCGGCCUGAGAGGGUGACCGGCCACAUUGGGACUGAGAUACGGCCCAGACUCCUACGGGAGGCAGCAGUGGGGAAUAUUGCACAAUGGGCGGAAGCCUGAUGCAGCAACGCCGCGUGCGGGAUGACGGCCUUCGGGUUGUAAACCGCUUUCGCCUGUGACGAAGCGUGAGUGACGGUAAUGGGUAAAGAAGCACCGGCUAACUACGUGCCAGCAGCCGCGGUGAUACGUAGGGUGCGAGCGUUGUCCGGAUUUAUUGGGCGUAAAGGGCUCGUAGGUGGUUGAUCGCGUCGGAAGUGUAAUCUUGGGGCUUAACCCUGAGCGUGCUUUCGAUACGGGUUGACUUGAGGAAGGUAGGGGAGAAUGGAAUUCCUGGUGGAGCGGUGGAAUGCGCAGAUAUCAGGAGGAACACCAGUGGCGAAGGCGGUUCUCUGGGCCUUUCCUGACGCUGAGGAGCGAAAGCGUGGGGAGCGAACAGGCUUAGAUACCCUGGUAGUCCACGCUGUAAACGGUGGGUACUAGGUGUGGGGUCCAUUCCACGGGUUCCGUGCCGUAGCUAACGCUUUAAGUACCCCGCCUGGGGAGUACGGCCGCAAGGCUAAAACUCAAAGGAAUUGACGGGGCCCCGCACAAGCGGCGGAGCAUGCGGAUUAAUUCGAUGCAACGCGUAGAACCUUACCUGGGUUUGACAUGGAUCGGGAGUGCUCAGAGAUGGGUGUGCCUCUUUUGGGGUCGGUUCACAGGUGGUGCAUGCCUGUCGUCAGCUCGUGUCGUGAGAUGUUGGGUUAAGUCCCGCAACGAGCGCAACCCUUGUUCACUGUUGCCAGCACGUUAUGGUGGGGACUCAGUGGAGACCGCCGGGGUCAACUCGGAGGAAGGUGGGGAUGACGUCAAGUCCUCAUGCCCCUUAUGUCCAGGGCUUCACGCAUGCUACAAUGGCUGGUACAGAGAGUGGCGAGCCUGUGAGGGUGAGCGAAUCUCGGAAAGCCGGUCUCAGUUCGGAUUGGGGUCUGCAACUCGACCUCAUGAAGUCGGAGUCGCUAGUAAUCGAAGAUCAGCAACGCUGCGGUGAAUACGUUCCCGGGGCC
rnacentral:rRNA from 1 species